GAUGAACGCUAGCGGCAGGCUUAACACAUGCAAGUCGAGGGGUAGAGGCUUUCGGGCCUUGAGACCGGCGCACGGGUGCGUAACGCGUAUGCAAUCUGCCUUGUACUGGGGGAUAGCCCAGAGAAAUUUGGAUUAAUACCCCAUAGUAUUUUCGGUUGGCAUCAACUGAUUAUUAAAGUUUUUCGGUACAAGAUGAGCAUGCGUCCCAUUAGCUAGUUGGUAUGGUAACGGCAUACCAAGGCUACGAUGGGUAGGGGUCCUGAGAGGGAGAUCCCCCACACUGGUACUGAGACACGGACCAGACUCCUACGGGAGGCAGCAGUGAGGAAUAUUGGUCAAUGGUCGCAAGACUGAACCAGCCAUGCCGCGUGCAGGAUGAAGCAUCUAUAGUGUGUAAACUGCUUUUGUACGGGAAGAAACACUGCUACGUGUGGCAGCUUGACGGUACCGUAAGAAUAAGGAUCGGCUAACUCCGUGCCAGCCGCCGCCGUAACAC
rnacentral:rRNA from 1 species